GAUGAACGCUGGCGGCGUGCCUAAUACAUGCAAGUCGAGCGAACAGACGAGGAGCUUGCUCCUUUGACGUUAGCGGCGGACGGGUGAGUAACACGUGGGUAACCUACCUAUAAGACUGGGAUAACUUCGGGAAACCGGAGCUAAUACCGGAUAAUAUUUCGAACCGCAUGGUUCUAUAGUGAAAGAUGGCUUUGCUAUCACUUAUAGAUGGACCUGCGCCGUAUUAGCUAGUUGGUAAGGUAACGGCUUACCAAGGCAACGAUACGUAGCCGACCUGAGAGGGGGAUCGGCCAAACGGGAACUGAGACACGGUCCAGACUCCUAGGGGAGGAAGCAGUAGGGAAUCUUCCGAAAGGGGCGAAAGCGUGACGGAGAAACGCGGCGGGAGUGAUGAAGGUCUUCGGAUCGUAAAACUCUGUUAUUAGGGAAGAACAAACGUGUAAGUAACUGUGCACGUCUUGACGGUACCUAAGCAGAAAGCCACGGCUAACUACGU
rnacentral:rRNA from 1 species